AACGAACGCUGGCGGCAUGCCUAACACAUGCAAGUCGAACGAGACCUUCGGGUCUAGUGGCGCACGGGUGCGUAACGCGUGGGAACCUGCCCUUAGGUUCGGAAUAACUCCCCGAAAGGGGUGCUAAUACCGGAUAAUGUCUUCGGACCAAAGAUUUAUCGCCUUUGGAUGGGCCCGCGUUGGAUUAGCUAGUUGGUAGGGUAAAAGCCUACCAAGGCGACGAUCCAUAGCUGGUCUGAGAGGAUGAUCAGCCACACUGGGACUGAGACACGGCCCAGACUCCUACGGGAGGAAGCAGGGGGGAAUAUUGGACAAGGGGCGAAAGCCUGAUCCAGCAAUGCCGCGUGAGUGAUGAAGGCCUUAGGGUUGUAAAGCUCUUUUACCCGGGAUGAUAAUGACAGUACCGGGAGAAUAAGCUCCGGCUAACUCCGUG
rnacentral:rRNA from 1 species